UACGUAGGGGGCUAGCGUUGUCCGGAAUCAUUGGGCGUAAAGAGCGUGUAGGCGGCUUGGUAAGUCCGCUGUGAAAGCCCAGGGCUCAACCCUGGAAGUGCACUCGAUACUGCGGGGCUAGAGUCCCGGAGAGGAUGGUGGAACUCUCGGUGUAGAGGUGAAAUUCGUAGAUAUCGAGAAGAACACCGGUGGCGAAGGCGGCCAUCUGGACGGUGACUGACGCUGAGACGCGAAAGCGUGGGGAGCAAACAGG
rnacentral:rRNA from 1 species